AAAUUGAAGAGUUUGAUCAUGGCUCAGAUUGAACGCUGGCGGCAGGCCUAACACAUGCAAGUCGAACGGUAACAGGAAGAAGCUUGCUUCUUUGCUGACGAGUGGCGGACGGGUGAGUAAUGUCUGGGAAACUGCCUGAUGGAGGGGGAUAACUACUGGAAACGGUAGCUAAUACCGCAUAACGUCGCAAGACCAAAGAGGGGGACCUUCGGGCCUCUUGCCAUCGGAUGUGCCCAG
rnacentral:rRNA from 2 species